rnacentral:misc_RNA from 1 species
CAGAACGCUCCGGCGCUUCUCGUAAACCACCGUGAACCUUCUAAAAAACGUUGCUUCGGCGGGCCCGCCCGCCGGAGACCCCCAAACUACGUCCUACAGUUACCUUCUGAGCCAAACAGAAACAAGUUA